CGUUAUCAUCAAGAAAAAAAUAAGAUAAAUGAGAACCAUAACUACGUGUUUACUAUCGUUUUAAUUAACAUAACACAUUCAUUUUAUUAGAAUUACAAGAGUUAUGCAUUCAGUUAGCAGGGAAAAUUGCAUUCAUAUGAAUAAUAAUAUAUUACAUGAUUAAUAUAGAAGUUUUGGCACUCAGGUCAAAUUCAUUUGAUGGAUUUGAGAAAGCCUAUUAUUCUUUUUAGCAUAUUCAUAAAUUAUUAGUUUUAUCGGAUUAUUCGAUAAUAAUAUCGAAUAAGUCUUGAUAGAAAUAUUAUUUUAUUGUAUAUCCUAUGAAUUUGUAAAAACAGUAUUCGCUACGUAUAUACGAUUAUGAUUUACGUAUAAAAAUUAAAUUUUUAUUAUUAACAUUCACAUAAGAGCCGUCUUUACGAAUUGUACAAUUCCUACAACGGUCCAUUAUCAAAGUCGUAGUUAAUUACGGUAAUCGUAAAUUUGUGUCAAGGUUGAAAACAUAAUUGUUAUAAUUCUUCGAAUUAACACGUAUGUAUAUGAUAUAUUAACUUUUUAAUUUUUUAUAUCGAAUUUCUAUCAAAGAUCAUUGUGAUAUUAACAAAGCUAUUAAGAUAUUUUUCAAUGUAGUUUAAGAUUAUUUUAUUUUUAUAGGAUAUUCUAUUGAACGUCAAAUUUACUUUGUUAAUAUUUCUUCGUUGAAUCGAUAAUUUUAUCAAUUUUUUCAUUAAUUUCUCUGCAUACUUUUUUUUGUUUUUGUUAAUUUUCUUCUUUUUACUUUUUAUUUUUUUUUUCAACGUUAUACAUAGACACUGUUCUAUUUUCCGAAUGAAAUGCAAGUAAAAAUUCACAUUACAAAAUAGAGCAGUGUAAAAGAUAUGUGCAUAACGCGAGCAUUCGAAGAUGAUUCUCUCUCAUGUCCCAAGGUAUGUAAUUUUAUGGGUUCACAAAAUUCUUUCAAUGUAGCUUGCAGAUAGUUCGUCCAUUUUUAAAAAUGGGAUAAAUACAUGGAUAAAUACAUACAUACGUUGUUCUGUUCUCUUUUCUCUCUCUCUCUCUCUUUCGCUCUGCACUUUCUCUCGCUCUUGCUCUCUCUCGCUCUCUUUCUCACAUAGUAUACUUAUUUAUUUACACGUAUUUGUGAACAAUAACAUCCUAAUAAAUCUCGGUGUGGGUUGUCAGUCUUCGAUAAUAUAAUUUGGCCCUCGUAUCCCAACAAUUCGCCAAACUGAUACACAGAGGAGUUCUCUUAAGUACAUACGCAAUUUCUCUUCUGUGACGAAUAAAAUUUUCUCUCACUGUCGGUUUUUAUAUUACAUUUAAAAUGUAUCGAUUUAAUAUGAUUGUGUAAUGAAAAAAAUUGCAGAAAAUUAUUCAUUUUGAAAUCGAUAAUGGCCGAGGUAGACGGGGAUGAUUCCAAUAAUGUAGCGACGAUAAGUAAGGCCGAAGACUUGGCAUGAAUAUUUUCGUUUGACCGAAGUCAUAUACAUACAUACAUACAUAUAUUAGCAAAAAUGCACGCUGAGACAAUAAUAUCGAAUAAUCGUCCCGAUAUUCGUAACAAAGACAGUCUUCUAAGCGAGUAUUUGGAAGCGCUACAGUUUAUUUCGUUUACGGCCCGAAGGCUGCUCCUCCUACUAGACGCAAUACUGAUUUCUUCUCAGUAAAGGAUUGUUGGUUUUUUGUGUUGUGGCCGAUUGGCAAGAUAAAUCUGACGUGUCGAAGCUUGUAAAUUAAAUACAAUUUUAUUGUUAUUUUGAACAUCACAAAACAAGCCUCUAAUUGUAUAUAAAAUUUGCAUUAAAUAGUAGUUCACGUUUUAA